rnacentral:rRNA from 1 species
UUCCAGGGCCCUUUACACAUGCAAGUCGWGCGCCCCGCAAGGSGAGCGGCAGACGGGUGAGUAACGCGUGGGAACGUACCAUUUGCUACGGAAUAACUCAGGGAAACUUGUGCUAAUACCGUAUGAGCCCGAAAGGGGAAAGAUUUAUCGGCAAAUGAUCGGCCCGCGUUGGAUUAGCUAGUUGGUGGGGUAAAGGCCUACCAAGGCGACGAUCCAUAGCUGGUCUGAGAGGAUGAUCAGCCACACUGGGACUGAGACACGGCCCAGACUCCUACGGGAGGCAGCAGUGGGGAAUAUUGGACAAUGGGCGCAAGCCUGAUCCAGCCAUGCCGCGUGAGUGAUGAAGGCCCUAGGGUUGUAAAGCUCUUUCACCGGUGAAGAUAAUGACGGUAACCGGAGAAGAAGCCCCGGCUAACUUCGUGCCAGCAGCCGCGGUAAUACGAAGGGGGCUAGCGUUGUUCGGAUUUACUGGGCGUAAAGCGCACGUAGGCGGGCUAAUAAGUCAGGGGUGAAAUCCCGGGGCUCAACCCCGGAACUGCCUUUGAUACUGUUAGUCUUGAGUAUGGUAGAGGUGAGUGGAAUUCCGAGUGUAGAGGUGAAAUUCGUAGAUAUUCGGAGGAACACCAGUGGCGAAGGCGGCUCACUGGACCAUUACUGACGCUGAGGUGCGAAAGCGKSGGGAGCAAACAGGAUWAAAAWAC